CCUACGGGUGGCAGCAGUGAGGAAUAUUGGUCAAUGGACGCGAGUCUGAACCAGCCAAGUAGCGUGAAGGAUGACUGCCCUACGGGUUGUAAACUUCUUUUAUAAAGGAAUAAAACGAGGCACGUGUGCCUUUUUGUAUGUACUUUAUGAAUAAGAAUCGGCUAACUCCGUGCCAGCAGCCGCGGUAAUACGGAGGAUCCGAGCGUUAUCCGGGUUUAUUGGGUUUAAAGGGAGCGUAGAUGGGUUGUUAAGUCAGUUGUGAAAGUUUGCGGCUCAACCGUAAAAUUGCAAUUGAUACUGGCAGUCUUGAGUACAGUUGAGGUAGGCGGAAUUCGUGGUGUAGCGGUGAAAUGCUUAGAUAUCACGAAGAACCCCGAUUGCGAAGGCAGGUGACCAAGCUGCGACUGACAUUGAGGCUCGAAAGUGUGGGUAUCAAACAGGAUUAGAUACCCGAGUAGUC
rnacentral:rRNA from 1 species